GGCAGUGCUAAUUCAGUGGUUAUGAUGCUGGACUUCUGAUCAGAAGGUCAUGAAUUCGAAUCUCAGCACGACCA